CAGCAAUACAAAGUGCUUGAAGAGCACCAUCCCACUGGUAUGGUUAACUCAUGGUUAAUCACAGUCUAACACUCAGCUGUAGUGGUUUGGGGUCACUGGAGCUUUAACAAGUCAAUGUUAUAUGUUUGACUUUAAUAUUUAGUGGCUUUUGUGUCCAGUGGUGGCCACUCUUCCUGAACUGAUGUCAUGACCAGAAACAUGUAACUCAAUGUGCAGAAUGUUUUAGCAUCCUUGCCCACUGCCAAGGUGCCUGUACAAAUUCCUGCGGAGACACUGAAGAUCAGGAUGUGUAUUGAAUGGAAGGAGCUGCAGAAGGGGAACAUGAAGGAGAGAAUGCCAUGGAGGAGGAUGCACUUGUACCAGGGACAGAGAGGCUGCAUGAAUGGACCUGGCUCCGAACACGUUCUGGAGUCAGCGUUUCUUAACAGGAUGUCCCUGUGCUGGAGGCUCAGCCGCACAGACCUGAGCUGGGUUUUCUGGAUGAACUCCACCGGUUCAGCAGUUUUCUGCUCUUCGUUUAAGCUAAUGAUAACUUUUGUUCCAUUUUUUGAGAACUCGUGCUUGUCGCGCUGGUAGGGACUCUUGUGGCAACUCUGAGGGCUUCGGUUUCCAUUGUAGAAUGAGUCGGAGUUCAGAGUCAGCUGCCAACAACAGCAAUGCGCAGAAUGCAGUUGGCAGAGGUUAAAUAUUUGGACUUGCAAAUGUUUCUCUGCUGCAGGCGCACACACUUUUCUCAGGAGCUGUCUAGGGAGUACGUGUGGAGGAGCUGCAUGUUUGGAGUUCAAAUGUGUGUUGCUGUAAUGGUGAAAGCUACGGUGAAAUCAGUGGUACAGAAUCCAGUAAACCAUUAGCCAGGGCUGGUUACGGGCGCUUCUGCACAGGGCCAGCAGAGUGGUGGCCUUUGUGGAUCUUCUAACUUGGUAUUCAUGUCACUAGCGAAGAAUGGGGGUGACCACCUCAGGGAUUACAGCAGGUCACAGGUGGCUGGACAAAAAGCAGGAAGCAGAAGGCUUGCAACUUCCACUUUAAUAAUACAUCCAUCCAUCAUAAACCAGCUGCCGUUCUGAACUAAAGAGAAUCAAGUUUAUCUGUUGGAGACUAGUGCGACUUCUGAAUAAGUAAUGAUUUUAAAUGCAACUUAAUUUAAAAGCAAGACAAGAAAAAGGGGGACAAAAGCACAGAUUCUUGUGUCAAAUAUUUCUGGAAAUAGCAUCUUUUAUGAAGAGGCCGACCCUUGUACAUCUAUGUGACUACCCAUCCUUUUUACAUCACUAACCGUGCAUGUCCUAAGGAGGGGUGUAUUGCAAGAUGGAAACACAGGGUUCAAGAAGGCAAUGCCAUAUAUCAGAGCUGAGCUGUAAAAUUUCAUAGGAGGGGCAGGGGGAAAGACAAGAGUCAUCAGUCUCUUCAGAAAUGAAAGCUAUUUGUGACAGUUAUCUGUACUUAUAAAAAAGAAUUAAUAAAGGUGGAAGUACAAUAAGACCAACUUGCCUAAACUUUAAGCAACUCUUCAACUCUAUAUGUAGUCAUAGAAGGGAUGCAGAAAGUAGUUACGGUUACUAUAAUGCAAAUGUAGAAAACAGCUUCUGGCCAAAAAGCAAACUCAUGACAUCAGGCAGCAUUAGCAAAUGUCAGCAAGGGCAAUGUGUACAUCUAUUAAUAAAUCUAACCAGGAGUGAUGCUAGUGCUGGCCUGUUACUCAGAGUCAGAAUUAUAGCCAGGGAACACCACAAGUCCAGACCAGACCCUCACCUGUGUCAGUUUUGACCAAAAAAACCCAGACAAACAGAAAAGGAAAUCUCUGGUCAGGUCCAAUCCGAUUGUCUCCUUGGAGAACUGAACCAGGCAGCAACCUCCCCACAUCAUUAACUCUUAUUUUUGAGGGACACCAGGAUAGAUGCUGUAGGAAUAGAUUGCUUCUUCACUUUGCAAACUGAUGUACUAGCAGCUUCUCAUAAUAAACAGAGAUCCUUUAGAAGCUCUGUGGAGCAUGCGCUAGGCAGGACACUUUUCAUCUCUGUUUCUACCUCCUCCUCCAGCAGGUUGAAUAUAAUACAUUUUAAGUUUUAUUUUACAGUGCAAUUACUUGUUCCAACACAUUACAUGAGCCAGCCCCAACUUGCAUUGGUUAGGUCAGGGAAGGAAGGGGAAGAGGAGUGGAAGUUGAUAGCCAGCCUCCUCAGAGGUCUUUUGAGACACAACUGUAACUUUUAUAGUGAUAUUUCUUCCUUUGAUGACCUCUUGAUGCAAAAUAUGUUUUGGAUCUUUAGUUCCAUUUUGGAUUUCUUAAGAUAUGUAGCAUUGAAACUAUUAGCAAGUGUCAUAUGAUCAUCCUAUAAUGUAGGCUAAACACUUUGGCAUCAGAGAACAUAUUACAAAGUUCUCUGCAAAAGCAUCUACAGAGCACUAGGCAGAGCUCCAUAUAUUUCUCUGUACAAGAUCCCUUAAGCAAGAUGUUAAGAUGCAUUAUU